rnacentral:misc_RNA from 1 species
GGUAAGAAUGGCAGUGCUUCUCAGCAAAUGUUGGAAAGAGGAAGAACUUUGAAGGUUGCAGAUGUUUCUGAAGCUACACACGAGUCCGUCAGUGUUAAAGAACCUGUAUCCCCGGGGAGUGCUCCAUUGGCUGAUGAAGAGGUUCAGCAAAAGCCUGUAGUUGGGGAGGCAGGAAAAAAAAAGAAGAAGAAAAAAACACGAUUGCCUUUGAACCCUGCUGCUGCUGAGAUGCAGUGGAGAGCUGCACAAGAUCUUGCUGCUGAGAAUUAUAUGAUGUCCAUGGGUCCUGCUGCCUAUAAUCCAUAUUGGACAGGCAUGCAACCUGGACUAGAUGGGUUUGGAGCCCCUUAUCCUGGUGCCAUGCCAUAUAAUCCUUAUGGAAUGGGUCCUCUAGAUGUGCCCUUUAUGCCGCCUCCUGUCGUACCACAUGAUCCAUUUGGCGGACAAGGUUUUAUGCUGCCUUUCGGUCCUCCGAUGCAGAGGGACCUUGCAGCAGACUUUGGGAUGGGAUUUAAUGCUGGCCCACCAAUCAUGAGUAGAGAAGAAUUUGAGGCUAGAAAGGCUGAUCUGAGAAGGAAACGUGAGAGCGAGAGACGUGGAGAGAGCAGGGAGUUCCCUAAAGACAGGGAGCAUGCAAGGGAUGUUGGGAGCACUGCUGAUGGUCCUUCCCUGAAACCCAAAUCUAAAGCUCCGUCGAGCUCGAGCCGUCCCCGCCAACCUGAGAGGCCUUCCCCAGACCUUGACCACCGCGUUGAUGACCGCCGCCGACCUGAGAGACCAUCGCCAGAUCUUGACCACCGCCGCCGAGCUGAGAGGCCAUCGCCAGACCUUGACCACCGCCGCCGAUCUGAGAGGCCAUCGCCAGACCAUGAUUACCCCCGCCGACCUGAGAGGCUGUCUCCAGAUCGCCGAUUGCGUGACCCUGAACUUCCUCGCCCUUCUUCCAAGAAAAAGUAUGAAGAUUAUGACGAUCAUCACCAUGAGGACCGCCACCGCCAUGAGGACCGCCAUCAGCGCGGUACCCAUCGCAGUAGCAGUAGCCAUCACCGUUCAGAAUCUUCAGCUAACGCCAAACCAUCCUCCGUAGGCCCAUCUGAACCGCAAUCCAAAUCCGUUGAUAAGAGGAAGGCCAGUGUUUUUUCUCGUAUCAGUUUCCCAGCCGAAGAUUCAGCAGCAGCUUCAAAGAAGCGAAAGGUGCCAUCCUCGAGUGAAGUGCCAGUGAGUUCUUCAGCGAGCCACAGGGGUGGCACAACGAAUGGGUAUCAUGGGGAGUACAAAACGACUACUGGAUCAAGGAAGAGUGCCACUGUGAGUGUGGAUUACGAGAGUAGUGAUGAUGAUCGGCACUUCAAAAGAAAGCCUUCAAGGUUGAGAUAGUAUAUGAUGAUGGGGAGACUGGAUCAAAAAGAAUCUUGCAUGGAUAUAAAUACAGAUUCAGAAGGCGCGGGCAUCUUUUUAACAUCCAAAUCUGGAUAGAGUUUCCUGAGUGAUACCAUCUACUUCACAAAGCUCUCGGUGCAACGGUAUGAGUUUUUGGUUUGAUCCUUGAGAGAUGGGAACAGUACGAAUUUGCGCAUCCAAGGAUCGUCAAUACAUGAACGUUCUAAUGAAUUGUUGUAGAUUCCAUCUAAGAAUUGUAUUAUCUUAUGAAUGCUACAUGGUUGGUUUUAGUUAUAAUUGCAAACAU